rnacentral:rRNA from 1 species
AUUGAACGCUGGCGGCAUGCCUUACACAUGCAAGUCGAACGGCAGCACGGGAGCAAUCCUGGUGGCGAGUGGCGAACGGGUGAGUAAUAUAUCGGAACGUGCCCAGUCGUGGGGGAUAACGUAGCGAAAGCUACGCUAAUACCGCAUACGAUCUAUGGAUGAAAGCGGGGGAUCGCAAGACCUCGCGCGAUUGGAGCGGCCUAUAUCAGAUUAGGUAGUUGGUGGGGUAAAGGCUCACCAAGCCGACGAUCUGUAGCUGGUCUGAGAGGACGACCAGCCACACUGGGACUGAGACACGGCCCAGACUCCUACGGGCGGCAGCAGUGGGGAAUUUUGGACAAUGGGCGAAAGCCUGAUCCAGCAAUGCCGCGUGCAGGAUGAAGGCCUUCGGGUUGUAAACUGCUUUUGUACGGAGCGAAAAGGCUUCCACUAAUACUGGGGGCUCAUGACGGUACCGUAAGAAUAAGCACCGGCUAACUACGUGCCAGCCGCCGCCGUAAAAC